GACGAACCGUGCGAACGUUGUUCGGAAUCACUGGGCGUAAAGGGCGCGUAGGCGGCUUUAUAAGUCGGGGGUGAAAGCCUGUGGCUCAACCACAGAAUUGCCUUCGAUACUGUAGAGCUUGAGACCGGAAGAGGUAAGUGGAACUGCGAGUGUAGAGGUGAAAUUCGUAGAUAUUCGCAAGAACACCAGUGGCGAAGGCGGCUUACUGGCCCGAUACUGACGCUGAGGCACGAAAGCGUGGGGAGCAAACAGG
rnacentral:rRNA from 1 species